AUCGCUUCUCGGCCUAAUGGCUAAGAUCAAGUGUAGUAUCUGUUCUUAUCUGUUGGGAAAGCGAGACUGUCCGUAACCCGGCUAUUGGUUAUUCCAAUUUAAAAGCCCGAUUGGAGAGCCGAGACUCGAU
rnacentral:snRNA from 1 species